GUGAGGAAUAUUGCGCAAUGGAGGCAACUCUGACGCAGCCAUGCCGCGUGCAGGAAGAAGGCGCUACGCGUUGUAAACUGCUUUUAACCGGGAAGAAACCCCAGGACGUGUCCUGGGUUGACGGUACCGGAGGAAUAAGCACCGGCUAACUUCGUGCCAGCAGCCGCGGUAAUACGAAGGGUGCAAGCGUUAUCCGGAUUCAUUGGGUUUAAAGGGUGCGUAGGCGGAGCGUUAAGUCAGUGGUGAAAUCCUGCAGCUUAACUGUAGACUUGCCAUUGAUACUGGCGAUCUUGAGUGCGCUUGAAGUGGGCGGAAUGUGCCGUGUAGCGGUGAAAUGCUUAGAUAUGGCACAGAACACCAAUUGCGAAGGCAGCUCACUAAGGUGAUACUGACGCUGAGGCACGAAAGCGUGGGGAUCGAACAGGAUUAGAUACCCGUGUAGUCC
rnacentral:rRNA from 1 species